rnacentral:rRNA from 1 species
CGACGAAUAUUCCGCAAUGCACGAAAGUGUGACGGAGCAAUGCCGCGUGCAGGAUGAAGCGGCUUCGCCGUGUAAACUGCUGUCAGGGGUCAGAAACACUGAUCGACCCCAAAGGAAGAGCCGGCUAACCCUGUGCCAGCAGCCGCGGUAAUACAGGGGGCUCAAGCGUUAAUCGGAAUCACUGGGCUUAAAGGGUGCGUAGGCGGACGAGAAAGUGUCCUGUGAAAUCCCCCGGCUCAACCGGGGAAUGGCGGGGCAAACUUCUCGUCUUGAGGCAAGUAGAGGCUGUCGGAACGCUAGGUGGAGCGGUGAAAUGCGUAGAGAUCUAGCGGAACGCCGAAGGUGAAGACAGGCAGCUGGGCUUGUCCUGACGCUCAGGCACGAAAGCGUGGGGAGCAAACGGGAUUAGAUACCCGGGUAGUCC